rnacentral:rRNA from 1 species
AUACGGAGGGUGCGAGCGUUAUCCGGAAUCACUGGGUUUAAAGGGUGCGUAGGCGGCCAUAUUAGUCAGUAGUGAAAGGUUGCAGCUUAACUGUAAGACUGCUAUUGAAACUGUAUGGCUUGAAUUAGGAUGAGGUAGGCGGAAUGUGACAUGUAGCGGUGAAAUGCUUAGAUAUGUCAUAGAACACCGAUUGCGUAGGCAGCUUACUAGACCUAUAUUGACGCUGAGGCACGAAAGCGUGGGGAGCGAACAGGAUUAGAAACCCUGGUAGUCC